ACUCCUACGGGAGGCAGCAGUGGGGAAUUUUGGACAAUGGGCGCAAGCCUGAUCCAGCAAUGCCGUGUGAGUGAAGAAGGCCUUCGGGUUGUAAAGCUCAAUCAGUCGAGAAGAAAAGGUUGUGACUAAUACUCACAAUUCAUGACGGUAUCGACAGAAGAAGCACCGGCUAACUACGUGCCAGCAGCCGCGGUAAU
rnacentral:rRNA from 1 species